rnacentral:rRNA from 1 species
GACUGGCCUAGGGAGAGCGGCAACGUUCACCCAGGGCCGGAAAGUUGUCCAAACUUGGUCAUUUAGAGGAAGUAAAAGUCGUAACAAGGUCUCCGUAGAGCAGUGAUCUCUCUGCAGCGAACUUAAGGAAGCCUUUGCACCCCUAACGGGGGCUCUCGCGACUCUAAAUAAGGAGGCAUGCAAGUGACAAAGCCCAACGGCUGAGUUGCAACACAAUCGAAUUGCGGGGAAGUCCUAAAGCCUCAGGGUACUAACCUGCUGUAGGAAUGCAGCAGGGGCCUGUGUUAAUCGCACAGGGUAUAGUAACAACCCCGGAGGAUCUAGCCAGGUGUGCUAGAAUGGACGAUCCGCAGCGAAGCCCCUAGACCAGGGGAACGUUCACAGACUAAGUGGUUGUGGGUAGGAGGGACUCCUGCUUAAGAUAUAGUCGGGCCGGCGCGGAAACGCGCUGGGGAUUCGCAAGAACGUAAACCGCUCCGUAGGUGAACCUGCGGAGGGAUC